CAUUCAUGUUUUUAAGUUUGUGAAAGGGACUUCUGGAGGUAGCGAUCAUUCAAUUUAUUGUUUGUGUGUUCCUUUGGUUGUUUCCGAGCAACUUAUAUUUUUUGCGAUAACUUCCUUCUCUUCGUGAGAUUGUAAUUUUUUUGUACUUGCAUAUUCUAUGCUCGAACUUUCUUGUCGUAGGUUGGUGAAGGUUUGACGGACGAGCUUUAGUAAGCAGUGUUUAUCACUGUUGAACUCUCAUGUCUUUACUUCAGGUGACCUUUUAAGUGUGAUUUAUUUUUCGUUUUUCUUUCCAGAUGCUUUGCACGUAGCUUCCCCGUUAAGUCGGGUUGCGGUACGCACACGCCCCAUCUCAGGUGGGGCGGUCACGACCCCCUAAAAGACUUUUGCUUCUCUUGGGUCACAACCUACUAGUAAUAGAGGCUAAAACAGGACAAUUGAGAUUCUCUUCAUAAUUCGGCGAUCUGACCUGCCUGGAGUGUCGAAGGCUGUUGAAAGCGCGCGUUAGAAAACGAUUAAUAUUGAACACUCGAUUUGAUUGGGAUGGCAAUGCGCAAUGCUUGUACAAUUCUAUAUAACACAUCUAGGGAACAAACAAUUUUUGACAUACAACCCGUGGCGGGGGAUGUCUCGGCUUCCACAUCGAUGAAGAACGUAGCAAAAUGCGAUAUGUAAUGCGAUUUGCAGAACUCGUGAGUCAUCGAAUUUUUGAACGCAAGUUGCGCUCGCGGGAAAUCCUGCGAGCACGUCUGUUUGAGUGUCCGUACAAAAACUAAAACACUUGUUUUUUAUUUUUCCUUUUGUCGACUUUGUUGCUUGCAAUGAUUUUGACAGUGUUGAGUGUUUCCGUUCACAGUGCAUUUCACAUGUACAGGAUGGUCACUUUAAGUUGAGGGGUAYUGUUCUUCGUGAACUUUACCAUUGGCAUGGUUUUUUAAACCUUACUACACCGUUCCCCUGCUACUUUUUAAGUAGUGAGGAGCUGCUCACUUGCAUAUGUCUUCGUUUUUCACUUAGAAUUUUUGUCUAGGUACUGAUGUUUUCUUUCUGCUGAGGUGCGAUUGUUGUGAAGUGAUUACUUAAAGCAACUAUUCAACAAYCUCUGAAGGAUUAUAACUUUACUGUUUGAACACAAUUUGGACUUGUGAUUUAAGUUGUCGCUUGUGUUUUACUUCUCCAGUGCUAUUCUUUAGUGCUGUGGCAAGACGCGUAGCAAAACAGUGC
rnacentral:rRNA from 1 species